CCGCCCAAUAAAAGUGACUAGACAAUUAUCCAAAAGACUAUCUUCCAUCUUAAAAAAAAGAAUACUAAAUAAUUAAAUAAAUUACGCUUGCACAAUUGAAAUUUUCACAUGUCAUUAUGAAACACUCACAUGAUACGCAGUUUGGUACUGGGGCAAAUCCUCAAUCAAGCGAUCAAGAUUUGGCCUAUUGAACGCCAAGAUUAGGCAAGCGGUCAAGAUUAUUGAACGCCAAGACCACCGAGAUCGCGCCAAGAUCAAU
rnacentral:lncRNA from 1 species